CCUACGGGCGGCAGCAGUGAGGAAUAUUGGUCAAUGGUCGGGAGACUGAACCAGCCAAGCCGCGUGAGGGAUGAAGGUACAGAGUAUCGUAAACCUCUUUUGUCAGGGAACAAAGGCGGGGCCGCGUCCCCGGAUGAGUGUACCUGAAGAAAAAGCAUCGGCUAACUCCGUGCCAGCAGCCGCGGUAAUACGGAGGAUGCGAGUGUUAUCCGGAUUUAUUGGGUUUAAAGGGGGCGCAGGGGGUCUGUUAAGUCGGCGGUAAAAGCCCGGGGCGCAACCCCGGCCCGCCGUUGAAACUGGCAGUCGCGAGUUGGAGAGAAGUAUGCGGAAUGCGCGGUGUAGCGGUGAAAUGCAUAGAUAUCGCGCAGAACUCCGAUUGCGAAGGCAGCAUGCCGGCUCCACACUGACGCUGAGGCACGAAAGCGUGGGUAUCGAACAGGAUUAGAUACCCGGGUAGUC
rnacentral:rRNA from 1 species